GCGGGCGUAGCUCAGCGGUAGAGCAUCGGUCUCCAAAACCGAGUGUCGCGGGUUCGAAUCCUGUCGCCCGUACCA
rnacentral:tRNA from 1 species